AAUUUAAUUUUAAAACAAAAACAUUCUACAAACAACUUUGCAACAGCAAACAUUUUACAUUCAUAAACGAGCAAACAAUUGUCUAAGGGGGAAAAAAGAGAUACAAAACUUCUACUCAUAGAGAGAUAUUGAGAAAAUUAAGCAAGAGUGAGCACUGAGGCAUGCGGCUGUGUUAGGCAUCAAGGCAGGAACAACGUGGAAUCGAUAUAAAACUAAAAAAAAAAAAAUAUUAUAAAAACCUCUGAAAACGCAGAGAAACAGAUGGCACUGAACUGCUCAGAGGUAAAAACUCGCACCUACAUCUGAAGAGACAUUCUGUUCAAUUCAGUGCAAAAAGAUGGCAGAUGUGUAGAAAAGGCUGUGAAGAGGUGGAAAAGGGUCCCUUGAAAUUGAUGCAGGUUUUUCUCUUGCCAUUCAAAUCUAUGUCAAUAGGUGGCAGUGCCUGCACUGUAUGACAGCUCUACAAUUUCAUAAUUACAUGGGGAAGGGAGGGAGAGACA